CCUACGGGGGGCUGCAGUGAGGAAUAUUGGUCAAUGGGCGUAAGCCUGAACCAGCCAAGUCGCGUGAGGGAUGAAGGUUCUAUGGAUCGUAAACCUCUUUUAUAAGGGAAUAAAGUGUGGGACGUGUCCUAUUUUGUAUGUACCUUAUGAAUAAGGAUCGGCUAACUCCGUGCCAGCAGCCGCGGUAAUACGGAGGAUCCGAGCGUUAUCCGGAUUUAUUGGGUUUAAAGGGUGCGUAGGCGGCACCUUAAGUCAGCGGUGAAAGUCUGUGGCUCAAACCUAGAAUUGCCGUUGAAACUGGGGGGCUUGAGUAUGUGUGAGGCAGGCGGAAUGCGUGGUGUAGCGGUGAAAUGCUUAGAUAUCACGCAGAACCCCGAUUGCGAAGGCAGCCUGCCAAGCCAUGACUGACGCUGAUGCACGAAAGCGUGGGGAUCAAACAGGAUUAGAUACCCUAGUAGUC
rnacentral:rRNA from 1 species